AUUAACGCUGGCCGCGUUCCUAAUACAUGCAAGUCGAGCGAACGGACGAGAAGCUUGCUUCUCUGAUGUUAGCGGCGGACGGGGGAGUAACACGUGGAUAACCUACCGAUAAGACUGGGAUAACGUCGGGAAACCGGAUCUAAUACCGGAUGAUAUUUUGAACCGCAUGGUUCAAAAGUGAAAGACGGUCUUGCUGUCACUUAUAGAUGUGUCGAGGCUGCAUUAGCUAGUUGGUGGGGUAACGGCUUACCAAGGCAACGAGGCAUAGCCGACCUGAGAGGACGACCAGCCACACUGGGACUGAGACACGGCCCAGACUCCUACGGGAGGCAGCAGUGGGGAAUUUUGGACAAUGGGCGAAAGCCUUAUCCAGCAAUGCCGCGUGUGUGAAGAAGGCCUUCGGGUUGUAAAGCACUUUUGUCCGGAAAGAAAUCCUUGGCUCUAAUACAGUCGGGGGAUGACGGUACCGGAAGAAUAAGCACCGGCUAACUACGUG
rnacentral:rRNA from 1 species